GACGAACGCUGGCGGCGUGCUUAACACAUGCAAGUCGAACGACGUGGCGAACGGGUGAGUAACGCGUAAUCAACCUGCCCUUCAGAGGGGGACAACAGUUGGAACCGACUGCUAAUACCGCAUAAUGAAGGAGGGGAUUGCGUCUGAUUAGCUGGCCGGAGGGGUAACGGCCAACCAAGGCGAUGAUCAGUCGCCGGUCUUGGAGGAUGAACGGCCACAUUGGGACUGGGACACGGCCCAGACUCCUACGGGAGGCAGCAGGGGGGAAUCUUCCGAAAUGGACGAAAGUCUGGCGGAGCAACGCCGCGGGAGUGAUGGCGGCCUUCGGGUUGUAAAGCUCUGUUAAUCGGGACGCGGUACCGGAAUAGAAAGCCACGGCUAACUACGUGCCAGCAGCCGCGGUAAUAC
rnacentral:rRNA from 1 species